rnacentral:lncRNA from 1 species
CCCACAGGUCCAGUCCUUGAUGGCACUAGGCUUCAGACACGGAGGAUUCAGCUGUGGCCCAACAACCUGAGCACCCUCCUAUCUUGGGCAGGGGCCUUGCCCACCUCAGGGCACUGGGCUCAGUCUCUGAUGGACUCAGAGGCCUUGCAAGAAAGAAACUGAGGUUCUUGGAACUGACGCCUCAGACAGCUUCCGGUGCCUGCUGUCAGAGAAACUGCCCCCAGCGAGAAAACAUCCUACUUCUAGCUUACCAAGAACAAGGCUGUCACCCAAACGCCUCCUCUUCCACCCAGCCUCCAUCCCAUCACUGGGGAUCCGUACUCCACACCUUGUCCCUGCCUUCGGCACUUGUUCCUCUCAGUCUAAUGGGACACACACAGGCUGGACUCCAACUCCUGA